UGGGGGAAACAGUUUUUAACAUUCAGCAUUGGUGGAAAGUAACUACAUACAUUUACUCAAGUUUGAGACAGUUGUACUUUACAAGUAUUUCCAUUUUAUGACACGAAUACUUCUACUCCACUACUUUUAUCUGACAGCUGCAGUUACUGAACAAUUCAUCCAAACCUUUUUGACCUCGUGACCCCGUCACGGUCCCAGGGUUUGUUUGUAGUUCUGUUUCCUGUUUUAUUUUGAUAGUCACUCUCCUCAUGUCUUGUUUACUUCCUGCCUUUGUCUUUUUCCUGUUUUCUGUCUCACCUGUGUUUCAUUAGUUAAUUAGUGUGUUUAGACCGUGUGGUUUCACUUGUCCGGUAGCCUGCCUUAGGUGCUUGUUUCUACGUCCCAGUCGUGUUCCUAGUGUUUCGUUUUCUUCAGUAUUCCUAGUUUGUGUUGGAUUAACUUCUGUUACCUGCAUCAAGCUUUGGACUCAAGCUGCUGAGGAUCACCCCCACGGCUUGGUGCAGCACCAGCAGCUUGGUCUGCGGCUUCUCGCUCUUCAGGUGCAGCUGACACAUGUGACCCAGCUCCUUGAAGGCCUCGUUGAUGUCCCGCACACGCAGACGCUCCCGGGCGUUGUUGGCCAUCCUCCUGUCUUUCUCACGCUCGGCCUUCUGCUCCGGGCUCAGAUCCUCAUCCCCAUCCUCGUGGAUGCUACAACAUCAAUGAGAAGACGCUGGACAUGUCAGUGAAUGCAUCUUAAAAGGCCUACGAUACGCACACAGAGGGAAGCGUGUUGGCCGUGGUGUUUGAUACCUGCUGGCGUGACUCUGUGCUGAGGAUCUGCUGUAUGUCCGGGAUAAGACCUGAGCACGGCAAGCUGAUCUUCUAGUCUGAGUGCUGGAAGAUGUGGGGGUUGUAAGAGGAUUGGAGUUGCCGUGGCUUCACGGUGCACGUGUGAUUUCAGACCUCUGUGCCACAGUGACCUCACUGUCCCACAUUCACCAGAACAUAUAGACGGGUGGCGUUAGGUCACUGCCAGUCUAAUGCAUGACCUACUUGAUUUCCAGGGUGCAAGUCACGACAUCUACAACAAACAUAAUAAAUGGUGUUUGAGAGCAAAACAUGUAUUUAAGUGUGCCAACAUAUUCUGUAUAAUAUACAGCAAAAGGUAGAGAAUGUUAGCUUUAAUUGCAUUUCUCAUACAUGUAACUAAAUUAUCUGAAAAAAUAAAACAUUGAUC